rnacentral:rRNA from 1 species
GUGGGGAAUCUUAGACAAUGGGCGCAAGCCUGAUCUAGCCAUGCCGCGUGAGCGAUGAAGGCCUUAGGGUUGUAAAGCUCUUUCGUGGGGGAAGAUAAUGACUGUACCCCAAGAAGAAGCCCCGGCUAACUCCGUGCCAGCAGCCGCGGUAAUACGGAGGGGGCUAGUGUUGUUCGGAAUUACUGGGCGUAAAGCGCACGUAGGCGGACUGGAAAGUCAGGGGUGAAAUCCCGGGGCUCAACCCCGGAACUGCCUUUGAAACUCCCAGUCUUGAGUUCGAGAGAGGUGAGUGGAAUUCCGAGUGUAGAGGUGAAAUUCGUAGAUAUUCGGAGGAACACCAGUGGCGAAGGCGGCUCACUGGCUCGAUACUGACGCUGAGGUGCGAAAGCGUGGGGAGCAAACAGGAUUAGAAACCCGAGUAGUCC